rnacentral:lncRNA from 1 species
CGCCGCCACCUCCCACCCCUACCUCCGCGGUGGUCCUGCGCCCCCUCUACCCCGACCUCCGGCGACACUCCUCCCAUCCCGAUCUCCGCCGAUGGUCCUACGUCCUCACCACCCGACCUCCGGAGAAGCUCCUCCGACCCACCUCCCUCCCCGACCUCCGCUGCGCUCCCGCGCUGUUCACCGUGGUCACGCCCCCAUCCAUGCCGGUAGUGCAUGCUGGAUUAGGAGGUUGUACACGUACGUCUAUAUUUAUGUUCAAGUCGAGCUUCGUGAAUCUGAAGGCAUCUAUGAUCAAGAACCUAUUAAUUGCAUUCAAUUCAAUCUCACAUGUGUGUGCUACAUGCUGGAAGAAAUACUUAUCUUUUAAUUUGUAUAUAUGGCUGUGCGCACGUAUGUAUGUACUGGCACGUCUUGCCGGAACCUGAUUGGGAAGUCAGAUUCGCUAAAUCUCCACGCCCGUGUCUUCGUGCCAUGUAAGUCGCAACUCACGGCCUGUAUCAACAACACCAAUUAUAUUUCUUCUCUCUUUAUUAUAACUAAUGUCAUCAAAUCUGAUAGUCGUCUACAGAUGUUUUCCCUGUGGAUACUGAGAUGCAUGGCACCAUUUUGCAGAUACUUGGAGUAUAUAUCUAGCAUAUCAAGCCACCGGAGACAAGCAAUACUUCAUUGAAACAAUAACAACAAUAGCAU